rnacentral:rRNA from 1 species
UAGAGUUUGAUCCUGGCUCAGAUUGAACGCUGGCGGCAUGCCUUACACUGCAAGUCGGACGGCAGCGCGGGAGCAAUCCUGGCGGCGAGGGCGAACGGGUGAGUAAUACAUCGGAACAUGUCCAGUAGUGGGGGAUAGCCCGGCGAAAGCCGGAUUAAUACCGCAUACGAUCUAUGGAUGAAAGCGGGGGAUCGCAAGACCUCGCGCUAUUGGGGUGGCCGAUGGCGGAUUAGCUAGUUGGUGGGGUAAAGGCCUACCAAGGCGACAUCCGUAGCUGGUCUGAGAGGACGACCAGCCACACUGGGAUGAGACACGGCCCAGACUCCUACGGGAGGCAGCAGUGGGGAAUUUUGGACAAGGGGGCAACCCUGAUCCAGCAAUGCCGCGUGUGUGAAGAAGGCCUUCGGGUUGUAAAGCACUUUUGUCCGGGAAGAAAUCCCCUGCCCUAAUACGGCGGGGGGAUGACGGUACCGGAAGAAUAAGCACCGGCUAACUCGUGCCAGCAGCCGCGGUAA